rnacentral:rRNA from 1 species
GGCCUGGCUGGGCGGUCCGCCUUACGGUGUGUACUGUCCGGCCGGGCCUUACCUCAUGGUGAGCCCGUAUGCCCUUUACUGGGUGUGCGGUGGAACCAUGAAUUUUACCUUGAGAAAAUUAGAGUGUUCAAAGCAGGCAUAAGCCCGAAUACAUUAGCAUGGAAUAAUAGAAUAGGACGU